rnacentral:rRNA from 1 species
AUUGAACGCUGGCGGCAGGCCUAACACAUGCAAGUCGAACGAGUGGCGGACGGGUGAGUAAUGCCUGGGAAACUGCCUGAUGGAGGGGGAUAAAUACUGGAAACGGUAGCUAAUACCGCAUACUAUCGGAUGAGCCCAGAUUGGAUUAGCUAGUAGGUGGGGUAAAGGCUCACCUAGGCGACGAUCCCUAGCUGGGCUGAGAGGAGGACGCGCACCACUGGAACUGAGACACGGUCCAGCCUCCUACGUGAGGCAGCAUUGGGUAAUAUUGCACAAUGGGCGCAAUCCUGAUGCAGCCAUGCCGCGUGUAUGAAGAAGGCCUUCGGGUUGUAAAGUACUUUCAGCGGGGAGGCGUUACCCGCAGAAGAAGCACCGGCUAACUCCGUGCCAGCAGCCGCGGUAAUAC